CAUUUUGAUAACAGCUACUGUUCUCUGCAGAUGUGGGAGGAACAUCCAGAUGUGUAUGGUGUUAGAAGGUCAAAUCGCAGUAGACAGGAGCCAGCUCGCUUAAACAUCGGAGCUGGGGCUAGCAGUGACUCUGAAAAUGAAAGUCCCAAGAGAAGGGCAAAAAAAAAGGAAAAAAUCUGGAAAGAUGAUGACUCAAAUGAAGAGGAUGAGGAGGAGGAGGAGGAG